rnacentral:lncRNA from 1 species
GGUAGGGAGAAAUCUAGAGAGAGGAGAGAGCUUCUCUGUCACGCCCCGGAUUACACAAUUUCCGGGCACGUCGACAAAUCCGCCGUAUACAAAGAAUUUUCCUUGUAUACGAAGUGUAUCGGUAACUGAAAAUAUACAAUACUACAACCAGUAGUAUAAAGCUGUAAAGAAACCAAACAUGUAGAAUAAAACAAGUCUCACAUACAUACAACAAAACGCUAUACAAAGGUACUCGCUCCAGCGAGUUAUAACAACUGUAUGUACAUGAACUCAACAAAAUAAACCGAAACUACCUGCAGCGGUGGAUCCUCUAUCUCAGCAACUCGUCGGGUAGGGCUCUAACUCGCGACGCCCUUGCCUCGAUCAGCCUCGGAAGGCGAAGCAACUGAAACCGGUGGCUCUGCAAAAUAGUGGUAACAACUGGACGUGAGAACUACUGUAAAAACAAGUAGUCCUCAGUGGAUACCGCCCUCAACAUCAUCGGCCUACCCAGUAAGACUACAGUCAGAAACAAACUAGUAGUUAAAGCUGGAAAGAAAUCUACAGCUACCUGCCACUACACUAUAUCCAACUGUAGUAACUGUCAAAUCUGACCCAAUCUCAAUAGGGACUGUGAACACACCCGUCCCGGGGACUGUGAACGCACCCGUCUCGUCUGUCUAAGCCAUGCUACCUCCACGCAAAACAGUCCGUGGAUAGCAAAACUAGUCAGUGACAUCAACGCGAAAGCACAAUGCCAAAUUCCGGAGCGGCAACUCAUGGGCGCGAUCCAACCGAGUAUGCAAGCGUAUCUCUGUCGAGCUCAAUCAGGCUCUCACAGGCUAAAGUCAAGAAAAUAAGUCCAAUUGGCUACUAACCACUAGUCACGUGCCCUCGACACAAUCGGAUCUCGAAAUGACCAAAUUCGGGUCCACCGAUAACCGCAACUACACCCACUAGUCCAGAACAGUCUAAACACUACUGUAAAAAUAGACUCGGCAUCCCACGAGUGUAACAGUAAAUUAGACUACCUGGGGUACUCACCACAAGAACACUGCAACUGCAUAAAAGUACAACUGCCCCUAAGGCUAAAUCAGGUAGUUUAACGUAUGACAGGUUCCGAACACUGAUUUUCUCCUAUGUUUUAUCUAAGUUUAACAUGUAUGAUUAAUAACAGCUAAUAACAUGCUCCCAAUUCAGUUAAUAUGUCUAAAACAUACCUACUCCUGAAUUUGAGCUAAACAAUAACAACUUAUAAUAUUAACGAUACAUGUCGACCAACAAUAUUAUAGGAGUAGAAUUUCGAUGAUAAACCCACCUCGAUCGCUAAUCCAAUCCGGCGCGACGUUGAGAACAGUGGAAUCGCACCCUCGCCUGGCCUCCUCGCGACGCUACGGCGACAAACGUGCGUUCGAACGGCUCCGCGACGCGAUGUCGGCGACGAACGCUCCACUUGAGCUCCUCCUCCUUGCGUACGGCUCCAGAGAAAUACAAAGAGACAAGAAAACAAAGAAAUGCCCACCUUGACAUGUUGAUAAGCUUUCAUAGGAAAUGCACGUGGCAACCAAAGCCACACUUAGUCUAAGUACUAAUAUAUAUAUAUAUAUAUAUAAAAGGAUACUACAUUCUCUCUCUAGGUUGUGUGUGUGUGUGUGCGCAUAAAAUGGUUGAGGGAAAAGGGAAGGGGAUGAAGCCCCUUUUAAGAUCAAACCCCCACCAUUAAUUACAAGUUUGCCACUCUUACUGUGCACUUUUCGGGCUCGGGGUCCGGACCUUGCACUCAGGGUCCGGACCCCGUAGGUUCAGAAAUUCUGCAAAUUUC